rnacentral:tRNA from 1 species
CGGGGUGUGGCGCAGCUUGGUAGCGCAUCUGCUUUGGGAGCAGAGGGUCGCCCGUUCGAAUCGGGUCACCCCGACCG